rnacentral:lncRNA from 1 species
AGGUGACAAAUCAUAUGAUCCUACAAGGAUUAAACUCAAGGCUCAGUCAAGCCAAAGGGCUCUAGGCCAAGGAACUCUACAUCAUGCUUUAGGCUUAUCAGAUGACUCCUCGGACUCCUAUUAGGGAGACACCCUUCAACCUUACUUUCGACGUUGAGGCAGUCAUCCCCAUUGAGAUCGGAAUGCCAAUAACUAGGGUGG